UCGCCUAGAAGGACUGACUGAGGUUUGAUCCGAUGUGAGCCAGAAAAUAAACUCCUUGCUUUUGCAUCAAUCUGCGUUUUGGUGUCUCACUCAGGGGCAUCACAAAAUCCAAGAUUCUCUGAAGACCUGCUUGAGCCCAACUUGUAUGCAAAAGCAGAGUCUUCAUUCAAGCUGAAGCUUGGACCCUCAAACCCCUUUGGUAUACUGGGGCAGUGCAGAAGACCCAAGAACCUGAGUGUCUUGGUUGAUGUUUUGUGAACUUGACAAAAGCUAGAUUUAUUGUGGAAAAGAAAUUUCAAUUGAGAAAUUUCUCAAUAAAACUAUCC